UGAAGUGUUAGUCGCUGGUUCCAUGGCACGUUGUCAAGUAACAUGCGCUACUCAUUUAACCCCUUGUACGCAUGUAGCAAACAACGCAGAAUCUCUUUGUAGCUAACACUAUUUUCAAUUAACAGCCGUGGCUUACUGAACUGACCACCGAAAGGCUUGAUUUACUUAGACAGGCAGCGGUUGUUCAUUGAAAAUCGUGUUGCAAUAAUCUAAUUAAAACCACGUCUAGAAGUCUAGCAAAUAACAUUCUAACGUGUGCUGUUUUUCUAGGGAGCGCGGUGCUUGUCUGUCCGCUCAGCUUUCAUCAUCUUGGUUCUGCUCCCUGAGAAUUUCAUUUUAGACAAGUGGUUUAAUAGCGAUUGGUAGAAGACCCUCAACAUUUGAAGACGCCUGGGCUGAUUCAAUGUGCUGAAUUGCUGCUUUUAACAAAACGUUUUAAUCAUUUCAUUGACGUAUAAAAGGUAUCUGCUAUUUCGAGGGCUACUAAUAAAACACUUUUCCACUGUG